rnacentral:lncRNA from 1 species
UGGAAUAAAUUUUAAACAAUGAAAAAGCGCCAUUCGGCGUUUUUUAGAAUCCCAAGAUUUCUGGGAUGUAGUGGAGAAUAGAAAUUAUGAAAAGAAUGUAGUAAAGAAGAAUUCAAAAAGAGAAACAGAGAAGCUCUAUCAUAUAUUUUUCUAGCAGUGAAUCUGUCAUUGAUUGAAAAAAUUUCAAGGGCAAAGAAAGCACGUGAAGUGUGGAGAAUGUAGCAAAAUUUAGAGAAGACAUGUAGGAAGAGAAUGAAAUUCAAGAACAAGAAGAAGAAACAAUUCAACUCAAUAGUAAAGAUGUAGAUGCCCUAAUUUGUAAAGAAACUUGAAAAGAUCUAUCUGAUCAGAAUCAUAAAGAAGAUAUGAUUCACGAAAAAUAUGCCGAUGAUCAAAAUGUUGCAACUCAGGUCGACAAAAAAGUUCACAAUAAUGAUGUGAUUAAAGAACUUUUUGUCGAUGAAAU